GGCCCCUUACCGGGGUUGCGGACAGUGUCUGGUGGGUAGUUUGACUGGGGCGGUCUCCUCCCAAAGCGUAACGGAGGAGCACGAAGGUUAGCUAAUCCUGGUCGGACAUCAGGAGGUUAGUGCAAUGGCAUAAGCUAGCUUGACUGCGAGCGUGACGGCGCGAGCAGGUGCGAAAGCAGGUCAUAGUGAUCCGGUGGUUCUGAAUGGAAGGGCCAUCGCUCAACGGAUAAAAGGUACUCCGGGGAUAACAGGCUGAUACCGCCCAAGAGUUCAUAUCGACGGCGGUGUUUGGCACCUCGAUGUCGGCUCAUCACAUCCUGGGGCUGAAGUAGGUCCCAAGGGUAUGGCUGUUCGCCAUUUAAAGUGGUACGCGAGCUGGGUUUAGAACGUCGUGAGACAGUUCGGUCCCUAUCUGCCGUGGGCGCUGGAGAAUUGAGGGGGGCUGCUCCUAGUACGAGAGGACCGGAGUGGACGCAUCACUGGUGUUCGGGUUGUCAUGCCAAUGGCA
rnacentral:rRNA from 1 species